AAACUUUCAACAACGGAUCUCUUGGUUCUGGCAUCGAUGAAGAACGCAGCGAAAUGCGAUAAGUAAUGUGAAUUGCAGAAUUCAAUGAAUCAUCGAAUCUUUGAACGCACAUUGCGCCCGCCGGUAUUCCGGCGGGCAUGCCUGUCCGAGCGUCAUUU
rnacentral:rRNA from 1 species